AUUUUCUCCUCCCAUUUCCACGAAACUUCGCGAAGAAUUUCCAAAUUUCUCAUUAGGGUUUUCAAAAAUUUAUAAUAAAGUUUUGAUCUUUGAGAAAUUUUAGUAUUUGGGAAUGCAAUUUCUUGAACAUUUUCUAAAGAUUUAAGCUUUAAUUUUGUUGGAAAAAAAAAUUUGGGAUAAUUUGAUGGAUUCUGAUUCGUGGAUUCGUCUUACUACUUCUUCACGACGUCACCAAUCUCGAUCAGACUUCUAUAAUAUCAUAGAAGAGUAUGAGGGUGAAGAGGAGUCAAGGCCGGAGUUCCUGUGCCCUUUUUGUGGCGAGGAUUUUGAUGUUGUUGGCCUUUGCUGUCAUAUUGAUGAAGAGCAUGCUAUUGAGGCUAAGAAUGGGAUAUGCCCCGUUUGUGCUAAAAGGGUCGGGACAAAUUUGGUUGGCCAUAUUACACAGCAACAUGGAAAUAUACUGAAGGUUCAGCGCAAGAGACGAUUUCGAAGGGGUGGACCUAAUUCAACUCUUUCUAUUAUAAGAAAAGAGCUGAGAGAAGGAAGUCUACAAUCCAUUCUCAGGGGAUCCUCCCAUUUGGUUUCUUCCACCAGUGCAGAUCCUGAUCCCUUGUUAUCUUCAUUCAUUAGCAGCUCAGCUUCGGUUGAUGAACCUUCUGAAGUUCAACCUCUGUCUUCAGUUGAUGAAGCUUUAGCAGCAUGCUCAACACAAGAAAGCACUGUUGAGAACUUGUCUGACAGAAAUAUUCAGCCAACUCCAAUAUCUGAAGAAGACCAAGUAGAGAAGGCUCGGAAAUGUGAGUUUGUGCAAGGGCUUCUGCUAUCGACUUUCCUUGAAGACGACGACUUCUAAUUUGAAAAAGAGGAUUUGCAAUGUAGUAACUAUUAUAUUAUGUAACCUGCAAUGUUGUAGCUCUGUGAAAGAAAAGAGAUACUGCUGCCAAAUCUGUAGUAGUUAUUAGGCCAAUUGGAACUUAUGGAAUCCUACU
rnacentral:misc_RNA from 1 species